AGGGGUAACGCAGGUAGCCAAAGUGGCUUGUGGAGUGGCGACCGUUAGUGAGGCGGUUGCUGAGACAGACGCUGAGGCGGGUAGGAGGAGCCCGAGCCGUAAGGGAAGCCGUGAUGAGGGCCGUGUUGACGUGGAGAGAUAAAGCCGAGCACUGUAUAAAUGACAUCGCAUUUAAGCCUGAUGGAACUCAACUGAUUUUGGCUGCCGGAAGCAGAUUACUGGUUUAUGACACCUCUGAUGGCACCUUACUUCAGCCCCUCAAGGGACACAAAGACACUGUGUACUGUGUGGCAUAUGCGAAGGAUGGCAAGCGCUUUGCUUCUGGAUCAGCUGACAAAAGCGUUAUUAUCUGGACAUCAAAACUGGAAGGCAUUCUGAAGUACACGCACAAUGAUGCUAUACAAUGUGUCUCCUACAAUCCUAUUACUCAUCAACUGGCAUCUUGUUCCUCCAGUGACUUUGGGUUGUGGUCUCCUGAACAGAAGUCUGUCUCCAAACACAAAUCAAGCAGCAAGAUCAUCUGUUGCAGCUGGACAAAUGAUGGUCAGUACCUGGCGCUGGGGAUGUUCAAUGGGAUCAUCAGCAUACGGAACAAAAAUGGCGAGGAGAAAGUAAAGAUCGAGCGGCCGGGGGGCUCCCUCUCGCCAAUAUGGUCCAUCUGCUGGAACCCUUCAAGCCGAUGGGAGAGUUUCUGGAUGAACAGAGAGAAUGAGGAUGCCGAGGAUGUCAUUGUCAACAGAUAUAUUCAGGAAAUCCCUUCCACUCUGAAGUCAGCAGUGUACAGUAGUCAGGGUAGUGAGGCAGAGGAGGAAGAACCAGAGGAAGAAGACGACAGUCCCAGGGACGACAACUUAGAGGAACGUAAUGACAUCCUGGCUGUGGCUGACUGGGGACAGAAAGUUUCCUUCUACCAACUGAGUGGAAAACAGAUUGGAAAGGAUCGGGCACUGAACUUUGACCCCUGCUGCAUCAGCUACUUUACUAAAGGCGAGUACAUUUUGCUGGGGGGUUCAGACAAGCAAGUAUCUCUUUUCACCAAGGAUGGAGUGCGGCUUGGGACUGUUGGGGAGCAGAACUCCUGGGUGUGGACGUGUCAAGCGAAACCGGAUUCCAACUAUGUGGUGGUCGGCUGCCAGGACGGCACCAUUUCCUUCUACCAGCUUAUUUUCAGCACAGUCCAUGGGCUUUACAAGGACCGCUAUGCCUACAGGGAUAGCAUGACUGACGUCAUUGUGCAGCACCUGAUCACUGAGCAGAAAGUUCGGAUUAAAUGCAAAGAGCUUGUCAAGAAGAUUGCCAUCUACAGAAAUCGAUUGGCUAUCCAACUGCCAGAGAAAAUCCUCAUCUAUGAGUUGUAUUCAGAGGACUUAUCAGACAUGCAUUACCGGGUAAAGGAGAAGAUUAUCAAGAAGUUUGAGUGCAACCUCCUGGUGGUGUGUGCCAAUCACAUCAUCCUGUGCCAGGAGAAACGGCUGCAGUGCCUGUCCUUCAGCGGAGUGAAGGAGCGGGAGUGGCAGAUGGAGUCUCUCAUUCGUUACAUCAAGGUGAUCGGUGGCCCUCCUGGAAGAGAAGGCCUCUUAGUGGGGCUGAAGAAUGGACAGAUCCUGAAGAUCUUCGUGGACAAUCUCUUUGCUAUCGUCCUGCUGAAGCAGGCCACAGCUGUGCGCUGCUUGGACAUGAGUGCCUCCCGUAAGAAGCUGGCCGUGGUAGAUGAAAAUGACACUUGCCUGGUGUAUGACAUCGACACCAAGGAGCUGCUUUUUCAGGAACCAAACGCCAACAGUGUGGCCUGGAACACCCAGUGUGAGGACAUGCUCUGCUUCUCGGGAGGAGGCUACCUCAACAUCAAAGCCAGCACCUUCCCUGUGCACCGGCAGAAGCUGCAGGGCUUUGUGGUCGGCUACAAUGGCUCCAAGAUCUUCUGCCUCCAUGUCUUCUCCAUUUCUGCUGUGGAGGUGCCGCAGUCCGCUCCCAUGUACCAGUACCUGGAUAGGAAACUGUUCAAGGAAGCCUACCAGAUUGCUUGCUUGGGUGUCACAGACACUGAUUGGCGUGAACUGGCCAUGGAAGCGCUAGAAGGUUUAGAUUUUGAAACAGCAAAGAAGGCCUUCAUCAGAGUACAAGACCUCCGAUAUUUAGAGCUCAUCAGCAGCAUUGAGGAGAGGAAGAAGCGGGGAGAGACCAACAAUGACCUGUUUCUGGCAGAUGUGUUUUCCUACCAGGGGAAGUUCCAUGAGGCCGCCAAACUGUACAAGAGGAGUGGGCACGAGAACCUCGCGCUUGAAAUGUACACCGACCUCUGCAUGUUUGAGUAUGCCAAGGAUUUCCUUGGAUCUGGAGACCCCAAAGAAACAAAGAUGCUAAUCACCAAACAGGCUGACUGGGCCAGAAAUAUCAAGGAGCCCAAAGCCGCCGUGGAGAUGUACAUCUCAGCAGGAGAGCACGUCAAGGCCAUCGAGAUCUGUGGUGACCAUGGCUGGGUUGACAUGUUGAUCGACAUCGCCCGCAAGCUGGACAAGGCUGAGCGCGAGCCCCUGCUGCUGUGCGCUACCUACCUCAAGAAGCUGGACAGCCCUGGCUAUGCUGCUGAGACCUACCUGAAGAUGGGUGACCUCAAGUCCCUGGUGCAGCUGCACGUGGAGACCCAGCGCUGGGCUGAGGCCUUUGCUUUGGGUGAGAAGCAUCCUGAGUUUAAGGAUGACAUCUACGUGCCGUAUGCUCAGUGGCUAGCAGAGAACGAUCGCUUUGAGGAAGCCCAGAAAGCGUUCCACAAGGCUGGGCGACAGAGAGAAGCGGUCCAGGUGCUGGAGCAGCUCACAAACAAUGCCGUAGCAGAGAGCAGGUUUAAUGAUGCUGCCUAUUAUUACUGGAUGCUGUCCAUGCAAUGCCUCGAUAUAGCUCAAGUUUGCCCAUCAGAAUGGUAUGAGGACCGUCCUGGGGUUAUGGUUGGCAGGUCCAGCCCUGCAUUGCUAAUUCAGAGCAUAUCUCUCCCCUGCUACCUGGGAGCCCAUAGCUGGACCUGGCAGAUCCUGCCCAGAAGGACACAAUGCUUGGCAAGUUCUACCACUUCCAGCGUUUGGCAGAGCUGUACCAUGGUUACCAUGCCAUCCAUCGCCACACGGAAGAUCCGUUCAGUGUCCAUCGUCCUGAAACUCUUUUCAACAUCUCCAGGUUCCUGCUGCACAGCCUGCCCAAGGACACCCCCUCGGGCAUCUCUAAAGUGUAUCCUUUCUCUUAUCCCUCCCCCAUCCCACCACCGUUCUUGUCUAAUGGCCCCAAGAAAUUCCUUCCAGAGCACUUUCCUGGCAGAACCUUCCUCUCUCAGCAACCCUCAGGGAAGACAGAGAACUCACCCUCCCACUGCUGUUUGGCUAUAGAGGCUCAGCAGGGAGGCCCAGGGGCCCAGGCCAAGAGAAGAUGAGUUUUCAGGGCUCUCUGAGCUGAACCCAGCAGUGGGUCUCUGGCCAACACACUGUCCCAAUCCCUCCUAGAACCCACAGAUGAGGGUGUGACUGAAAUGGAAGAAGCACCAGGCCUUCAGGCUUGGAACCUUGGGCACUUCUCCAGACUGGGGAGGAGGGAGUGUUUGUUCAGCCCAGGUAUACAUAGCACCUUCUGUGCCCCAAGCCCUGGGCCAGGCACCAGGUGGCAAAGCUGCCAUCAAAGAGGGAGGUCACAAGUUAGGGUCUGGUUUGGUGGAUGUGUGCUGUGUCUGAGGGUGGAAUGAAGCUGAGGUCAGGGCCAUGGUCAGGGAAGUUUACCUGGAGGAGGUGAUGUCCAUCAUGCAAGCUGAGGCAGCCAGGGAAGAUGGCCAAGUGGAUGUUCCGGGGGAGGACCCAGCAUAUGGAGAGCCAUCGAGGGCCACAGUGGUGCCAUAAGCAGAGCAGGUGCCUGAAGGGCCUGUGCAGCCGGAUACUGGAUCAUUACCAGGCAAUGAUCCAGAUUUUUAAGGUCUUGGAUGUCAGGAGACAUAAUUGUCCCUGUUCUUUUCUAAAUCUCACUGUACUCUCAGCUCCUUCCCAGCCGCAGCCCCACCUUCCCUCUGUAAGGAAAACCCACUCCACUGGAGAAGACCCAGAGCUCCUUGUUGUAAGAAUUGGCCUCGCUAGAGGAUUCCAGGCCCAUUAUGUACAUUUCAGGGGAAAUACCCUCAAAUCAAGGGGUGCCUUCCUGGAGUCAGACCUCUGCUGCAUGCGUCUCCGUCUUUCCCCAUGGGAGCAGUCAGGGCUAUGCCUGUGGGGGCUGAGCACCUGUACUCAUCCUUUCCAGCAAGUUCUGUUUGAGUCAAUAGCUUGAUGGAACCUCUACCCCGAGCCUUACCCUGUGCCAUCCCCUGGGGACCUGGAAAUGGCUCCUGACAGUCCCUGACUUUGAGGAGUCAUGCUGGAGACACAGAAGGAAACUCUCCACAGAACUUCUGAAGUGGACGGGGCUACACUGCAGACGGCGGGAGCAGGAACACUGGGAGAGAUGCGGGAGGAAGGGCAGGAGGGCCUGGGGGCAGCCAACAUCGGAGGUGACCUGAGAGGAGAGCACAAAGGCUCGUCAGCCUCUGGCUGAGGAGCUUCAAGGGGGCCCCAGAGCACAGGCGAGGCUGCCGCUCAGAAACUGCCCACCAGGCCCUCGGGGAAGGGUGUGCAGACAGAGUGGGGUACACCCAGGGGCCUCAGAGCAGGGUUGAGGGUGGCUCCCCAGGGAGUCUGGACCAGGCCCCACCUGGCAGGGUGAGAGCAGAGUGCCCUUUGUGCCAGGCAUCCUAGGAGGGCCUGGCUGGCAGGUUUGGUGAGGCAGGAAGAGCCAUUUUGGCCUAGUCAGGGUAUAAGAUGAGCCAUCAGCAGGCCCAGAGAUGCUAAGCAAGGUUAAAGUAUUAAUGGAAACUACGCUGUUUUUAUCUUUGGAAAAAUUCCUGGGCCUUGCCGUCCGAGAAGUACACUCACCUCUCACAAGCGCACAGAGCCUUCCUCACGGUCUUUCCUCUGCCUUCCCGGCACCAGCACAAGCUGUGUUCCAGCCUGGGGCUCACUCCAAGGACAGGCAGUGCCAGCUCCUGGGCCUGGUGUUGCCCCUGCUGUCCUUAACCCUGUUCACGGCAGGAAAAUACUCUUCACCUUGGCCAAGCAGAGCAAGGCCCUCGGUGCCUACAGGCUGGCCCGGCACGCCUAUGACAAGCUGCGUGGCCUGUACAUCCCUGCCAGAUUCCAAAAGUCCAUUGAGCUGGGUACCCUGACCAUCCGCGCCAAGCCCUUCCACGACAGUGAGGAGUUGGUGCCCUUGUGCUACCGCUGCUCCACCAACAACCCGCUGCUCAACAACCUGGGCAACGUCUGCAUCAACUGCCGCCAGCCCUUCAUCUUCUCCGCGUCUUCCUACGACGUGCUACACCUGGUUGAGUUCUACCUGGAGGAAGGGAUCACUGAUGAAGAAGCCAUCUCCCUCAUCGACCUGGAGGUGCUGAGACCCAAGCGGGAUGACAGACAGCUAGAGAUUGCAAACAACAGCUCCCAGAUUCUGCGGCUAGUGGAGACCAAGGACUCCAUCGGAGAUGAGGACCCGUUCACAGCUAAGCUGAGCUUUGAGCAAGGUGGCUCAGAGUUCGUGCCAGUGGUGGUGAGCCGGCUGGUGCUGCGCUCCAUGAGCCGCCGGGAUGUCCUCAUUAAGCGAUGGCCCCCACCCCUGAGGUGGCAAUACUUCCGCUCGCUGCUGCCUGACGCCUCCAUUACCAUGUGCCCCUCCUGCUUCCAGAUGUUCCAUUCUGAGGACUAUGAGUUGCUGGUGCUUCAGCAUGGCUGCUGCCCCUACUGCCGCAGGUGCAAGGACGACCCUGGCCCAUGACCAGCAUCCUGGGGACGGCCUGCACCCUCUGCCCGCCUUGGGGUCUGCUGGGCUGUGAAGGAGAAUAAAGAGUUAAACUGUCAGAA